CGAGUCCGAGGAGCUAAGGCUCCAAAGUGAUGCGAGUCAGACUUCCCAGAAAAGCCCGAACCACGUUAAUUUCUAAUUACCCGUACCCGAAACCGACACAGGUGGGUAGGUAGAGUAUACUAAGGGGCGCGAGAUAACUCUCUCUCUAAGGAACUCGGCAAAAUGACUCCGUAACUUCGGGAGAAGGAGUGCCUUAUUUAUAAGGUUGCAAUAACAAGAUCCAAGCAACUGUUUAUCAAAAACACAGGUCUCCGCUAAGUCGUAAGACGAUGUAUGGGGGCUGACGCCUGCCCAGUGCCAGAAGGUUAAAGAAGUUGGUUAGUGUAUGCGAAGCUGAUGACUGAAGCCCUGGUGAACGGCGGCCGUAACAAUAACGGUCCUAAGGUAGCGAAAUUCCUUGUCGGGUAAGUUCCGACCCGCACGAAAGGCGUAAUGAUUUGGAUACUGUCUCGGAGAGAGGCUCGGUGAAAUAGACUUGUCUGUGAAGAUGCGGACUACCUGCACCAGGACAGAAAGACCCUAUGAAGCUUUACUGUAACUUGAAAUUGGAAUUGGACUUUGCUUGCGCAGUAUAGGUGGGAAGCGUUGAAGAUAUUCUUGCGGGAGUAUUGGAGCUAUCAGUGAGAUACCGCUCUUGUAAUGUUAGAUUUCUAACUUUGAACCAUAAUCUGGUCAAAGAACAGUUUCAGGUGGGCAGUUUGACUGGGGCGGUCGCCUCCCAAAUGGUAACGGAGGCGUACAAAGGUUUCCUCUGAACGGAUAGAAAUCGUAUCUAGAGUGUAAAGGCAUAAGGAAGCUUGACUGUGAGACCUACAAGUCGAGCAGGGACGAAAGUCGGUCUUAGUGAUCUGACGGUACUGAGUGGAAAGGCCGUCACUCAACGGAUAAAAGUUACUCUAGGGAUAACAGGCUGAUCUCCCCCAAGAGUUCACAUCGACGGGGAGGUUUGGCACCUCGAUGUCGGCUCAUCGCAUCCUGGGGCGGUAGUACGUCCCAAGGGUUGGGCUGUUCGCCCAUGAAAGCGGUACGCGAGCUGGGUUCAGAACGUCGUGAGACAGUUCGGUCCAUAUCCGGUGUAGGCGUUAGAAUAUUGAGAGGAGCCUUCUUUAGUACGAGAGGACCGAGAAGGACACACCGCUGGUGUACCAGUUAUCGUGCCAACGGUAAACGCUGGGUAGCUAUGUGUGGAGUGGAUAACCGCUGAAAGCAUCUAAGUGGGAAGCCCACCUCAAGAUGAG
rnacentral:rRNA from 1 species